rnacentral:rRNA from 1 species
CGUACACUCCUGCGGGAGGCAGCAGUGGGGAAUAUUGCACAAUGGGCGCAAGCCUGAUGCAGCGACGCCGCGUGGGGGAUGAAGGCCUUCGGGUUGUAAACUCCUUUCGCUAGGGACGAAGCUUUUUUGUGACGGUACCUAGAUAAGAAGCACCGGCUAACUACGUGCCAGCAGCCGCGGUAAUACGUAGGGUGCGAGCGUUGUCCGGAAUUACUGGGCGUAAAGGGCUCGUAGGUGGUUUGUCGCGUCGUCUGUGAAAUUCUGGGGCUUAACUCCGGGCGUGCAGGCGAUACGGGCAUAACUUGAGUGCUGUAGGGGUAACUGGAAUUCCUGGUGUAGCGGUGAAAUGCGCAGAUAUCAGGAGGAACACCGAUGGCGAAGGCAGGUUACUGGGCAGUUACUGACGCUGAGGAGCGAAAGCAUGGGUAGCGAACAGGAUUAGAAACCCCAGUAGUCC